rnacentral:rRNA from 1 species
CCUACGGGAGGCAGCAGUGGGGGAUAUUGCACAAUGGGGGGAACCCUGAUGCAGCGACGCCGCGUGGGUGAAGGAGUGCUUCGGCAUGUAAAGCCCUAUCGGCAGGGAAGAAGCAAGACGGUACCUGACUAAGAAGCCUCGGCUAACUACGUGCCAGCCGCCGCGGUAAUACGUAGGGGGCGAGCGUUAUCCGGAUUACCUGGGUGUAAAGGGAGCGUAGACGGGCAAGCAAGCCAGUGGUGAAAGCCUGGGGCCCAACCGCGAGACUGCCCUUGAAACUGGAAGGCUGGAGUGCGGGAGGGGCAGGCGGAAUUCGUGGUGUAGCGGUGAAAUGCUUAGAUAUCAGGAAGAACACCGGCGGCGAAGGCGGCCUGCUGGACCGCGACUGACGUUGAUGCUCGAAAGCGUGGGGAGCGAACAGGAUUAGAUACCCCAGUAGUC